UCGCGGUGGCGCGCUCGGUGCGGUCCGCGCUGCCGUCGCGGGAGAACGCGGGGUCGGCGCGCCGGGUCGUGCCCGGAUCGCGCC
rnacentral:tRNA from 1 species